GGUCAAGUUACUAAGGGCACACGGUGGAUGCCUUGGUGUCAGUAGGCGAUGAAGGACGCGGUAAGCUGCGAUAAGCCUCGGGGAGCUGCAAACAAGCUUUGAUCCGGGGAUUUCCGAAUGGGGAAACCUGUCAGGAUAACCUCCUGUCAUCUUCAUCUGAAUACAUAGGGUGAAGAAGCGAACGCGGGGAAGUGAAACAUCUCAGUACCCGCAGGAAAAGAAAUCAAUUGAGAUUCCCUUAGUAGUGGCGAGCGAAACGGGAACAGCCUAAACCGGAGGGAUGCAAGUUCUUCCGGGGUUGCGGGACCUCAACGUAGGACGUCAAGGGUUAGCGGAACGGUCUGGAAAGUCCGGCCAUAGUGGGUGAUAGCCCCGUACGCGAAAAUCCAAGGCGCCUUAGAGGUAUCCCAAGUACCACGGGACACGAGAAAUCCCGUGGGAAUCUGGGUAGACCAUUAUCCAAGGCUAAAUACUAACUGACGACCGAUAGUGCACCAGUACCGUGAGGGAAAGGCGAAAAGAACCCCGAGAGGGGAGUGAAAUAGAACCUGAAACCGUAUGCCUACAAACAGUUCAAGGGCUAUGUCCCGCAAGGGAAAUGCCUAAGAGCGUGCCUUUUGCAUAAUGACUCAGCGAGUUACUGUACGUGGCAAGGUUAAGCCGAUCGAGGUGGAGCCGUAGCGAAAGCGAGUCUGAAUAGGGCGAUUCAGUCGCGUAUAGUAGACCCGAAGCGUGUUGAUCUACCCAUGGCCAGGGUGAAAGGUCGGUAACACGGCCUGGAGGCCCGAACUGGUGGUUGUUGCAAAAACCUCGGAUGAGCUGUGGGUAGGAGUGAAAGGCUAAUCAAAACACGUGAUAGCUGGUUCUUCCCGAAAUAUAUUUAGGUAUAGCCUCGUAAAUUAAGUGCCGGGGGUAGAGCACUAGAUGGGCUAGGGCCCUUCACGGGGUACCAAACCCAACUAAACUCCGAAUACCGGCAACUUCUAUUACGGGAGUCAGUCAGUGGGGGAUAAGCUCCAUUGUCGAGAGGGGAACAACCCAGACCGCCAGCUAAGGUCCCUAAAGUAGGCUAAGUGGGAAAGGAUGUGGAACUACAUAGACACCCAGGAGGUUGGCUUAGAAGCAGCCAUCCUUUAAAGAAAGCGUAAUAGCUCACUGGUCUAGUGGUUCUGCGCCGAAAAUGUAUCGGGGCUCAAGCCUGCUACCGAAGCUGCGGAUUUACAGGGAAACCUGUAAGUGGUAGGGAAGCUUUCCAGCAACCUGCGAAGGCGGACCGUGAGGACCGCUGGAGGAACUGGAAGUGCUUAUGCUGAGAUAAGUAGCGUAAAUGUGGGUGUAAAACCCGCACGCCGAAAGCCUAAGGUUUCCUGGGGAAGGUUAAUCCGCCCAGGGUUAGUCGGGUCCUAAGCCGAGGCCGAAAGGCGUAGGUGAUGGAAAACGGGUUAAUAUUCCCGUACCGCCAUGUUAGCGUUUGAGCGAAGGGGUGACGGAGGAGGGUAGGCCAUCCGGGUGACGGAAGUCCCGGUUCAAGCCGGUAGGCGGGAAGGGCAGGCAAAUCCGCCCUUCCAUUAACGCCGAGAGGCGAUGUGGAGGAAAGCCGCAAGGCAGACCGAACUGGCUAAACCCACACUCCCAAGAAAAACCUCGUAGUGAGCUAACAAGGCGCUCGUACUGCAAACCGACUCUGGUAGGCGAGUAGAGAAUACUAAGGCGCUCGAGAGAACCCUGGUUAAGGAACUCGGCAAUCUAGCCCCGUAACUUCGGGAGAAGGGGUGCCUUUGCCAGUUGUCCGGAUUUACUCCGGAAGGCCCGCAAAGGCCGCAGUGAAAUGGGGGUUGCGACUGUUUAACAAAAACACAGGACUCUGCUAACUCGAAAGAUGUUGUAUAGGGUCUGUCGCCUGCCCGGUGCCGGAA
rnacentral:rRNA from 1 species